UAUCAAAAGAGAUCAAUGACUGUAUAGGUGGAACGGUCUUAAACAUUUCUAAAAGUGGUUCUUGCAGUGCUAUACGUAUCGGUCACGUUGGAAUGCAAAUUGAGCGCAUCAUUGAAAACAUUGUUGCUGUCACCAAAGGACUUUCAGAAAAAUUGCCAGAGAAGUGGGAGAGCGUGAAACUCCUGUUUGUGAAAACUGAGAAAUCGGCUGCCCUUCCCAUCUUUUCCUCGUUUGUCAGCAAUUGGGAUGAAGCCACCAAAAGAUCUUUGCUUAAUAAGAAGAAAAAAGUUAGUAGAAUUUUAAAUACUCACAGAAUGAAUAAUGAAGGGUGUAAAUUCAGUCGCUAGGAGAGAGAAGUAGACCAUCAUCCCUGCCCGACUUUUCAGUUAUCUUCUGGUUUUCUGGUGGUUGUGCUUUUGUCACUUUACAUGAGGUAGUUGAUAUUAGUAUCAGUAAUGCGCGUUAAGAUAGAAAUAUCUUGUAUUUAUUGAUAAAUUAGAUUUUUUUUUUAAUUUUUGUUAGAUCCAGUGCUUGCUGGGUUUUUUUAGAGA
rnacentral:sRNA from 1 species